GCCAUCAGUCUGUGACUUGAUCUUGUCCAUGACCAGAUCCGGGUGGUUACACAGUUUCUUCAAAGAGGUUAUAGAUGACAGAGCUGACAGUGAAACUUUUCCUUCACUGCUUGUUCCUGGAAACCAUCAUCAGGACAAAUCUUGGUUAUUCAGAGGAGUAUUCAGGGAAGCAAUGAUUAUGAAAACUCACUGAGUAAAGGAAUAAAUAAUGAAAGUACUAAAUAAUGUACUGUCUAUAUAAUUUUCUUUACACUUUCCAUCAUUAUCUUUUUUUUAAUUUAUUGCCAAUAAAAAUAUUAAUAUUGG